GAAAUGCGAUACGCAAUGCGAAUUGCAGAACCGCGAGUCAUCAGAUCUUUGAACGCAGCCCGCGCUGGAGAGCUAUCUCUCUGGCAUGUUUGUUUCAGUGUGUUUGGUUGGCUUCAAAAAUCUCAAUGCGAUUGAGGAAAUUUUUUUUUAUAACAAGAAAAAGAUUUCUUCUCUCGUGAAAAUUGGUCGUGUGCGGCUUUGUGUCCGCCAACGAAGUGGUCGCUGUCAAAAAAACAGUGAUUUCGUUGGGAAAAAACGGUCACAGCCAAAAAACAAGCAUACACAUUAAAAAACAAUUUUUUUAUCUUCAAUCGACACCUGAAAUCAAGCAAGUUUACCCGCUGAACUUAA
rnacentral:misc_RNA from 1 species